AUGAACGCUGGCGGCGUGCCUAAUACAUGCAAGUCGAGCGCACAGACGAGGAGCUUGCUCCUCUGACGUUAGCGGCGGACGGGUGAGUAACACGUGGAUAACCUACCUAUAAGACUGGGAUAACUUCGGGAAACUGGAGCUAAUACCGGAUAAUAUAUUGAACCGCAUGGUUCAAUAGUGAAAGACGGUUUUGCUGUCACUUAUAGAUGGAUCCGCGCCGCAUUAGCUAGUUGGUAAGGUAACGGCUUACCAAGGCAACGAUGCGUAGCCGACCUGAGAGGGUGAUCGGCCACACUGGAACUGAGACACGGUCCAGACUCCUACGGGAGGCAGCAGUAGGGAAUCUUCCGCAAUGGGCGAAAGCCUGACGGAGCAACGCCGCGUGAGUGAUGAAGGUCUUCGGAUCGUAAAACUCUGUUAUUAGGGAAGAACAAAUGUGUAAGUAACUAUGCACGUCUUGACGGUACCUAAUCAGAAAGCCACGGCUAACUACGUG
rnacentral:rRNA from 1 species